rnacentral:rRNA from 1 species
UACGUAGGGUCCGAGCGUUGUCCGGAAUUAUUGGGCGUAAAGGGCUCGUAGGCGGUUAGUCGCGUCGGGAGUGAAAACUCAGGGCUCAACCCUGAGCGUGCUUCCGAUACGGGCUGACUAGAGGUAUGCAGGGGGAGAACGGAAUUCCUGGUGUAGCGGUGGAAUGCGCAGAUAUCAGGAGGAACACCGGUGGCGAAGGCGGUUCUCUGGGCAUUACCUGACGCUGAGGAGCGAAAGCAUGGGGAGCGAACAGG